ACAUUGAGUUUGAUCGAGCUGUGUAGACCCUUAGGAGCUUUUUAUGUGGUUAAAUUAAGAUAUUCACUUGCACACAUCUACUACACUAUCCAUCACCAUUCAUUAAAAUUGCUAAAAAUAUUAUCACUCACUAUCCCGAAUAUUGUUAUUCUCUCUCUCUAAAAAGAUUCAAUGCAGAAGAGGCAUGGGUUAUGCAAAAAUAUACGAGGAAAUAAAAAGGGGCAAGUGCCCGGAACCUCGAUAAAGAAAGAAAAAGAGUGAGACGAGAGGUAAAAAUGGACAAGUGUCCGAAGUAGAAUUAGGGGUACAAAGAUGCCCACUUGAGAGGAAAAAAUGGACAAGUGUCCGACAGUAGAAUUAGGGGUAUCUACUACCCACCUGAAAAAAAAAGAGAGAAAAAGAUAGCCCAUGUUCUCCCAAAGCAAAGAUCAAAGAAGAGAAGAGAUAGCAAUA
rnacentral:lncRNA from 1 species